ensembl:lncRNA
UGUGAAUGUGUGAACAGUCAUUUUAAAUCUUAAAAUGACUGUUCAGUACAGAAAUGAAGCCCAACAAUCAUGUUUUACAGUCCUGUGGUCUCAGCCUCACAUACUUAUCAAAUCACACAAAGCUCAUGUAGAAACAAAUGUACAAAAUAUGUUCUCCUUCAUUUCUGUCAAACAAAGCUGUAUGAAACGUUUCCAGCUGUUAGUAUCAUGGUUGCUAGGCAACCUGGGCAGUGCGACGGAGGCUGGACCGUCCCAUUUCACAAGCCUACAAGCCUCGCACUUCCGGCCUCAGCAGUCUUUGAGUAUGCGGCCCUUGAGGACCGUUAAGGCUGCGUACUUUAAGGCUGCAAACCCUGAAUUGGGAUACAGCCAUACAUACAUGUUUUGGUUCGUGCAACUGGUCCAGGUUAUUGUCUACCCAGAAACAUUUCUGUUGUGUCUUGUGUGCUUUUGCAGCGUUUUUCUUUUUGCAGCAUUUUUCUUUUUGCAGGUGUUUUUCUUUUUGCAGCGUUUUUCUUUUUGCAGGCGUUUUUCUUUUUGCAGCAUUUUUCUUUUUGCAAGUGUUUUUCUUUUUGCAGCAUUUUUCUUUUUGCAGCAUUUUUUUUUUGCAUGUGUUUUCUGAAGUUGCAGUCCGUUUGGCCUCUCAGGGCCACCGUACCAAUCAGCUCGCUAGCUAAAUCCAGUCGAGUGGUUUGGUUUAAACUAGAUUAAAACCAACAACGAUCUUAAAAAAUUAUAUAUUUUAAAAUAAAAUAAUUAAUCAUACUAACAGAAAAUGGCAAUAAUAAUAGCAAACACUGAAAUAUAUUUCUUGCACACAGCACUGAAUUUUGUUCGCUCAAAAUAAGCCACUCCUCAAUAUUUGCACUUGCAAAAACUUUUUCAUGUGCGCUCAGAAUAGAGGCACAAAAAUAAUGACAUAGCUGUGUAGACAGAUGCCAGUGGAUGGGAGCAGCUACAAAGCUUGAUUUUCUUCAUGUUUUUGCUUGUUGAACGGACGAUUUGACGAUCCCAGAUCUGCAGCAGGGCAGCACUGAGCUCCUGGACAGUCUGAGUUCCAACUUGCUGGUGUUGAAUAUACCAAAACAUAAUGUCCCAGAGGUGCUCUGCUGGAUUCAGGUCAGGUGAAUGUGGGGGCCAGUUAGUGGUAUCAAUUCCUUCAUUCUGGAGGAACUGUCUGCAUACUCUCACCGCAUGCGGCUGGGCAUUGCCAUAUGCCUGGAGAAACCCAGAACCCACUGCACCAG